rnacentral:rRNA from 1 species
CAAACGGGUGAGUAACGCGUAGACAACCUGCCGCAAAGAUGGGGACAACAGUCCGAAAGGACUGCUAAUACCGAAUGUUGUCAGUUUUCCGCAUGGGAGACUGAUUAAAGAUGGCCUCUACUUGUAAGCUAUCGCUUUGCGAUGGGUCUGCGUCUGAUUAGCUGGUUGGUGGGGUAACGGCCUACCAAGGCGACGAUCAGUAGCCGGUCUGAGAGGAUGAACGGCCACAUUGGAACUGAGACACGGUCCAGACUCCUACGGGAGGCAGCAGUGGGGAAUCUUCCGCAAUGGGCGAAAGCCUGACGGAGCAACGCCGCGUGAGUGAAGAAGGGUUUCGGCUCGUAAAGCUCUGUUGACGGGGACGAACGUGCGAGAUGCGAAUAGUUUCUUGCAAUGACGGUACCCGUCGAGGAAGCCACGGCUAACUACGUGCCAGCAGCCGCGGUAAUACGUAGGUGGCGAGCGUUGUCCGGAAUUAUUGGGCGUAAAGGGAGCGCAGGCGGGAAGGCAAGUCAGUCUUAAAAGUGCGGGGCUCAACCCCGUGAUGGGAUUGAAACUGUCUUUCUUGAGUGCAGGAGAG